rnacentral:rRNA from 1 species
GACGUAGGUGGCGAACGUUAUCCGGAAUCAUUGGGCGUAAAGGGCGCGUAGGUGGCUUGGCAAGUUGGGUGUGAAAGCCCAGGGCUCAACCCUGGAAUUGCACUCAAGACUGCUUUGCUUGAAUUCGGUAGAGGUUGGUGGAAUUCCCAGUGUAGAGGUGAAAUUCGUAGAGAUUGGGAAGAACACCCGUGGCGAAGGCGGCCAACUGGACCGACAUUGACACUGAGGCGCGAAAGCGUGGGGAUCAAACAGG